GCUGAUAAAGGCACUAUUCUGGAGGGGCCGCGGGAGACGUGGUGCCGCUGCUGGCUUGCUCUGCCAUGCGCUAGGCUUGGUGGGAAGGCCUGUUCUCGAGUCCGUGCUUUUCGUCGCCGCCAUGUCGGGAGGUGGUGUGAUUCGUGGCCCCGCAGGGAACGACUGCCGCAUUUACGUGGGUAACUUACCUCCAGACAUCCGAACCAAGGACAUUGAGGACAUGUUCUACAAAUAUGGUGGUAUACUCAACAUCGACCUCGAGAAUCGCCGCGGGGGACCGUCCUUCGCCUUCGUUGAGUUCGAGGACCCGCGGGACGCGGAAGACGCGGUGUAUGGUCGCGACGGCUAUGAUUAAGAUGGAUAUCAUCUGAGGGUGCGAAGCUGCCGUGGAACAGGCCAAGGAGGCAGUGGGGGUGGAGGUGGCGGAGCUCCCCAAGGUAGCUAUGCCCCCCCUCCAUCCAGGCGGUCUGAAAACAGGGUGGUUGUCUCUGGACUGCCUCCAAGUGGAAGUUGGCAAGAUUUAAAGGAUCACAUGCGUGAAGCAGGUGAUGUAUGUUAUGCUGAUGUUUACCAAGAUGGCACUGGUGUCGUGGAGUUUGUACGGAAAGAAGAUAUGACCUAUGCAGUUCGAAAACUGGAUAACACUAAGUUUAGAUCCCAUGAGGGAGAAACUGCCUACAUCCGGGUUAAAGUUGAUGGGCCCAGAAGUCCAAGUUAUGGAAGAUCUCGAUCUCGAAGCCGUAGUCAUAGCAGAAGCCAUAGCAGAAGCAACAGCAGGAGUCGCAGUUACUCCCCAAAGAGAAGCAGAGGAUCACCAUGCUAUUCUCCCAAUCAUAGCAGAUCUCGCUCCCAUACAUAAGAUGAUUGGUGACACUUUUUGUAGAACCCAUGUUGUAUACAGUUUUCCUUUAUUCAGUACAAUCUUUUCAUUUUUUAAUUCAAACUGUUUUGUUCAGAAUGGGCUAAAGUGUUGAAUUGCAUUCUUGUAAUAUCCCUUUGCUCCUAACAUCUCCAUUCCCCUCGUGUCUUUGAUAAAUUGUAUUUUACGUGAUGUCAUAGACAGGAUUGUUUAAAUUUAGUUAACUCCAUACUCUUCAGACUGUGAUAUUGUGUAAAUGUCUAUUUUGCCCUGAUUUGUGUGAACUGGGAUGUUGGGGAUGUUUGGGAUGUUUAUGGUUAUCUUACCUGGGGAAGUUCUUAUGUUUAUCUUGCUUUUCAUGUGUCUUUCUGUAGACAUAUCUGAAGAGAUGGAUUAAGAAUGCUUUGGAUUAAGGAUUGUGGAGCACAUUUCAAUCAUUUUAGGAUUGUCAAAAGGAGGAUUGAGGAGGAGCAGAUCAAUAAUGGAGGCAAUGGUUUGGGUUGGAGAGGGCUCACUGGAUCCCAAUCCUUGGAGCUGGAUCAUUGGAUUCAAAUCAUAAUGUGGAUAGGAUAGGGAGGAUGAAUUACUAGGAUUCAUGGAGCGGGAUCAGAUUACCAGGAACAUAGGAGUGGAUUCCUGCCCCAACCAAACUGCAUUCGUGUGGAUUUUUUUAUUCAACUUAAUUGGCUAUUCCAAAGAUUUUUUUUUUUUUUCCUAUUUUUGACGAUUGGAGCCCUUAAGAUGCACAAUGGAAUUGUGUUUUGCAUAUUUUGGUAAAAGGAGCAAAGCGAGGACCUGGAGAUAAACGCUGGAGCAAUCUCCUUGGAAGGAUUCAGCACGAGUAGAUGGUAAACAUUUAAAGGGGAAAAGGAGGGGGGUUGUUUAAAAUAGUAAAUCAGUAAGUCACUUCUAAAUUUAAAGAAAACAAAAUUGGAGUUGAAGAAUAAGUAGGUUUUCAAUUGGCUAUUGCCAUUUUUCUUUGAAAAAAUAAACAUUAAAAAAAAAGAAAAGAAAUAAACCACCAUUCCAGAGUAUAGCCUUGCCCAUCACACAGUUGUUCAGCAAUACUGAUGACUCAAAGAAACAUAUACUAAGACAACAACAUUUUAGUGAAUAUUUUGUAUAAUGUGGUACACUCAAGGGCUAGAAAAAGUAAAUUUGAGUUAUCAUGUAUUAGAACAUGCAGCUAAACCAUGUUCUUGGUCCUCAUUUCUAAGACUAACAGUAGUAAUAUCUGACAUUUCUUGAGCACUUAGAAUGUGCCAUCACUGCCGUAUUUUAUCUACAUUAACUCAUGCGUUACAAUGAAUGUGGAUUUCACCAAAAUAUCUCCAUGGGGUUAAGGAGAAAUAAAUUAGUUUCCUAGAAAAUAACCCUGAAAUAUUAAUGAGGAGUUUCCCAGCAUAAAUAAGCUACUCUAUCCUUAAACAAUACAUUCCUUAUUUCACACAUUUCAACUUGAAUUACAGAGAUCUGAAGGCAUGUUAAAGCAGGCAAGAACCUGAAGUAUUUGAUCCAGAGCUGGCAGCAAUGAAGAAGAAAAAAUGACUGUUAAAAAUAGGCUGUGUAUAUAACAAUCUUGGGAAAAUCUGAUCAUGUUAGUGGAUAUACCUUACCUACCAUACUACUCUUGAUGGAGGCUCCAAAGAUCUUGCCCUCCCAUCAUUAAAUACCUUCCAAGUCUUUUUUAGGCCUGCCAUGCAGGCCAAGAAACCAAACAGUUCUAAGAAAUUCUAAUUCCACUGGAACUGAGAACAAUCCAAAAUGAUAGUGGUUAUAUAAGAGAUUGGAUUAAAUAUAAUCUAGUAUGAUGGGUGCAUAUUUAAAGAAGAACUUGGAAUACAAAACUUUAAAACAAUCACUUGAAGGAAAAGUUAGUUGUCAAAGGAAACGAUUUAUUGUACUAGACCAAUUUCAUGUGACCAUAAGAAGGUUUGAAACAAUCAUUGAAAACUAGGGAUUAAAGGUACACUUUGAUUGCUGGGUUUGUUUAAUUUAGAACAAGAGUAGUCACUCCUAUCAGCACUUUCUUUAUCCUUCCAACUUACUUCUUUCUGUGCCAAUCUCUUCAGAAACACUCACUUAGACAUCUACUAUUCCCUUGCUGAAGGGAAUAAGGAAACUUGUGAGGAAUUUUCUCUGCAGAAAAAAUAAGUUGUCUUAGUAACUGUACAGUAGACAUGUUAGAAAAUAUAGAACAACUGUAACUGCUUCUCCAACCUCCUUAAAUCAUUUAUAGACUUUGCUAUGUUGUAAGUUAAGUAAAACAAUCCUGUCUUGAGCGAAAUUUAGACUUGCUAACAAAGUACUUGACUGAUUUAUUCCCACUUUAUCCUCUCAGUACACUGCAGGUGCUGCACAAAUACAUGUGGGAGAAAUAAAUGAGUCCCUCGCAUUACAGGUUUCCAGUAGGUAUCAAUGUAUCAAGUAGAUUCCGGCCUGUCUUACUGUAUUUUUAAGGAAGUUCCAAUGAGUAAAAGUUUCACUUGAAAUCCAUCUCUUUUGCUAAUUAGGUUCUGUACCACAUUGUUUUGCCUGAUUGGGUCUAAUUUUAAUAUGCUCUUGUCCGCUUCUUUUACUCUUAUUUUCUCUGAGCCAAUCACUAUGGCUGCAUCAACCAAGCAGCUCAUCUCUGGGCCCCAAUCAAACAAGGCAAUAUUGUGGGCAACACUGUAACAGUUUUGUCUCUUCCUAUGGAAGGGUUUGGUUUGUAACCCCCCCUCCCAAAUCCAAGAUACCAGAGCUGAAUUCUGGGCUCCCAAGACUCCGUUGGUACAACCCAAAAAGUCCCAGAAUUCUGGCUCUCAAGGCUGGUCCUCUGCUUAGGUUCUUGCUCCCCUUGACUCCUAGCCCAGUGGCUGCUUCCACCACUCUGCUUAUAACAAGAUAGUUCCACAUUUCUGAACUUAGCACCCUGUACCAAAGCUCCAGUAAAACACACUUCCUCCUAUAUGGCAACCACCUACCUGCCUUUUGAAUACCUGUGCCACUAUAAAUUCGGGAUCUGCUGCCAAUGAGUCGGGAAUGGCAUCUGGGUCUGUAACCCCUUUGACUCUUUGCCUUGACGAGCAAGCUGCAACUCUGAUUUGACUUUUAUUGCUGGGUCAGUUCCACUGUCAGGACAGUUAUCUGUUAAGAUUUUCCCUCAUUCCUGACAUCUGUCUCCAUAAUGUGCUAUCAUACCUCUCCAGUCUAACACACAACCACUAGAAUUCUAAUUAGUAUUUUCUGAACUGUUUAUUUUCUGAGACUAACACUAGGCUUUCUGUUACGUCAAUUGAUAGAGUCAUCUUCUUUCUCUGUGAUGGCAACUUAAUAUAUUACCUAUUAACUAACACUAAAGCAAAUAUUGUUAUUUUCUAAAUGUAUGCUAAUUUUUAUGACACCUGACAAUAUCUGUCUACAGAUCAAAUAACUCUUCCCUGAUACCUCUGGAAUAACAAAUAACAAUGUGAUCAUGAAGCCAAGAGAUGUAAAUCUGAAUCCCACUCUGUUACUCCUUAGUUAUAUAUACUCUAAAUGAGAUGCUUAAGCUAAGCCUCAGUUUUCUCAUUCACAAAACUGGGUUAGAGACAACAGUAUACAAAAGAAUAGUACAAGGCACUAAAUACAGUACCUGGUACACAGUAAACACCAAUAAGUUAACAGUCAUUGUUAGCACCCACAGGGUUUAUAUGUGCAUAUUUGUAAUUUGCUGUAUUGGGGUCUCAAGAGAAGGAAAAUAAUAGAAUAAACUCACUUUUGGUUAACCAAAAGAUGAAAAACGAGUAUGGGCUAUGGUUACGGGAAGUGAACUUGAUGAAAAAAAAAAAAGGAAAGAAAAUGAUUUAUAUUCUAGCAGGGCGAAGAUCAAGUAAAUGGCAAACAAGAGUACACCAAGCAGAUAGCAAUGUUCCAAGAGUCUCUAGAAAAGGAUGCCAUGGUCCUCUUUUUGGUCUCCCUUAGGGUCCUGAGAAGAGUUAGGAGUCCCCUGCUUCUUCCAGUGUCUGGGAGAGUAAAGGGGCUGCUGUACUCAGCCAACAGUGUAGCAGGAAGAGAAAGCCUUGAUCCAUAUCACGCCUCCCUGAAACCUGAAAUUUUUUCACAAUUCUCUCUUGCCAAAUCAUUCUCUUCUUGAAAUAAAACAAAUCCUCUCUCUCUAUUCCCAUCCUUUAAACCUUAGCUCUAAUGUAACCUCUAUGAAAUUCUUCCCCCAAUUCUCUCAGUUUAUUUCUCCCAUAACAAUGUGGUAUUUCUGUUUCCAUCCUGCAAACCCUACCAUAAUUGUUUCUAUCCCCUUCCCAAUCAGCCCAUGAACUCCUUAAGGGCAAAGCCUGUGACCUAUUCUAGUUUGUAUCUCCACGAUCUAGCACAGGGCAGGAUGAAUGGAAGAUGAGAAGCCACUGGGUACCUUGUACUGCUCCAGGCAGAAUUGUCAGGAUCAAUGCUUCCUUUGAAAAUCUGAGGAAAAGAACAUUAAGCUGAAAGUCAAGAGAUCUGGAUUCUCUCCCUGGUUCUGCCAAAAACUCUCAGUCCUCAAACCAGUCACUUACUCUCAUAGUCCCUUAAUUUCCCAAUUGACAAAGGAAGAAACCAUCAUUUGCCCUCAACUAUCCCUCAUUAGAUGUCUAUAAUAAGAAGUAUAGGGGAAUACUAAAAAUGUGGAAAAAUCUGAAUUUUAAAGAGUUAUAUAAGAGCAAAUUCGUUUUCAUUAUUGCUUCACAGCUUGAUACUCAUACAGCUAUCUGUUUUGCCAAAAAUCAUGCUGUGAAAUAAAUUGACUAUUUACUACUAUAACGAAAAGAACUGUUGUUUUUUCUAAAACCCCAAAAGCCCUGUAGUUUACAUACCCAAGAGGGGUGAGCACAGCAAGCAGAAAGAAGCAAAGAUGAAUAAUCCAAUUAAUCCACAUUUGCUCACGCCAGCGACUACAGAUUCCUUUGAUAACAACAUGCCUUUGUACUAACAAACCUGUGAGACAAUCGGCCAGUAUGCAUGGAGAUGUUUAUAUCCUAGACGUCACAGAUUCUUGAUGACAGUCCAAAUAGUCUCUUCUCUCUACUUUGACCCUGCCACCAACAACUAUCACAGGUGGAUUAAGGCCAACAGAACUCCCCCACUUCUGAAUGAGAAGCUGUGAAAUAUUCGAACUAAUGAGGCCUGAGAGACAUACCUAAUAGGGCUGACUUUAAUACAAAAGGCAAUUGUCAGGCAACCACUGUGAAGACUCUUAGGAGCUCCACAGAAACAAAAUAAUAAGGAACCUGGGGCUACCCUCUACAUUUCAAAUCUUCUGAAAGCUUCAGAGGCAGCCAGCAGCCCCUCUGUAGGAGCCAGUUAAACAGAUAAGAGUUUGUGAAAAUAGGUAGCACUAAGCUAAUUUUAUGACCUAGAAAUUCAUAAAAUUAGGCCUCUAGGGAAAAACACAACUUCAUUGCAUUGAGUUUUAAAAGGGGUACAGAUUUUUGUCCAAGAAACAAAGGCACCAAGGCAGAAACAAGAAUGCUCAAGUCCCAAACCUGUCCUUCCGGACAACAAAAAAAAAACUUUAACCCUCAACCUACCCCAAGCUUUGAUCAGCAACCUAUCCCAUCUUCUUAGACUUCUUGCCUGAAGCAAGAGCACUUCUAACAGCACAGGAAAGGCUGUGCUGACUGUCUUUUUACAUAACGGGGGUGAAAAACAAGGAAAACAAGGCAACAGAUUUACUUAUUCAUGUUUGUUUAUUUUUGCCAUCUCUUGCCUAGGUCCAAGGGCAGAAAGGAUACCAGGUAAUUUGGCCUUGUUCUUUUAAGCAACCUCAUCCACUUCUGUAGAACUCCACUGCUCUACUGUAUACUUUCCAUGCAUACUGUUCAACCAGUCAGCAUCUAUUUCUGGUCUGGUCUGCUCUAGACCUACCCACUUGCUAACCACUCUUCUGCUUCUCCCUAUUCUACCAUUCUCAUGUCUUAGGUCAAAGGAUGCCACCAACUUUCUGUUCUUUCUUUGGUUCCUCUUCACUAUAAUGCUGCCUCUUUACUCCUUCAAAUGACCUCUAGGAAUGCUUCCUUCAGUUUGACCUGGCCCUAAUACACUUCUCUUGUCUUCUUGGACCUGGUCAAUACUAUGCUAGAUUCAAGAAAACAGGAAGUGACCUAAAUCAAGCUGCAUUCCUAGAACCUGGAGCCAGCCCUUGGCUAUGCUUUCAAGGAAUCCUAGGACACUAUAUCCCCAACUGGCAGCAACUAGGAAUGGAGCUGGGAAGCGGAUCUGAUGUAGGAAAGUUCACUGUAAUUAAAAAACAAAAAAGAAGAUUCCCAGGCAAGAUGGCUGAAUAGCAACAGCUCUGGUCUGCAGCUCCCAGCAAGGCCAAUGCAGAAUGCGGGUGAUUUCUGUACUCCAACUGAGGCAUCCAGCUCACCACAUUAAGACUGGUUAGACAGUGGGUGCAGCCCACAGAGGGCAAGCCGAAGCGGGGCAGGGGGGCACUGCCUCACCCAGGAAGCACAAGGGGUCAGGGAACUUUCUCCCCUAGCCAAAGGACGCCAUGAGGGACUGUACAGUGAGGAACGGUGCAUUCCAGCCCAGAUACUAUGCUUUUCCUAUGGUCUUCGCAUGCGGUAGACCAGGAGAUUCCCUUGGGUGCCUAAGCCACCAGGGCCCUGGGUUUCAGGCACAAAACUGGACAGCUAUUUGGCAGACACCAAGCUAGCUGCAGGAGUUACUUUGCAUACCCCAGUGAGACAAAACUGUUCACUCCUCUGGAAAGGAGGCUGAAACUAGGGAGUCAAGUCUAGCUCAGCGGAUCCCACCCCCACAGAGCCCAGCAAGCUCAGAUCCACUGGCUUGAAACUGUCACUGCCACCACAGUAGUCUGAAGUCAACCUGGGAUGCUUGAGCUUGGUGGGGGUGGGGCAUCCACCAUUACCGAGGCUUGAGUAGGCCGUUUUCCCCUCACAGUGUAAACAAAGUUUCCAGGAAGUUCGAACUGGGCAAAGCCACUAUAGACAGACUGCCUCUCUAGAUUCCUCCUCUCUAGGCAGGGCAUCUCUGAAAGAAAGGCUGCUGCAGUCCCACUCAGGGGCUUAUAGAUAAAACCUCCACUUCCCUGAGACAGACCACCUGGGGGAAGGGGUGGCUGUGGGCACAGCUUCAGCAGACUUAAACAUUCCUGCCUGCUGGCUCCCAGCACAGCGCUCAAGCUCUGCUAAGGGAUAGACUCCCUACUCAAGUGGGACCCUGUGAGAUAGGGGCAAAAACAGAAGCUUAAGCACUGCCAUCUUAUAGAGAAGCCACCUGGGCCCUGGGCAGAGGUGUAAUUCUCGUAACUGUUAUUGUACUUCAGUUCUCAGAGGUGCUAAGGGUAAAAAUUUCCACUGCUACCCGUCUCCUCUUGCAGCAAACCGCUAACUUUAGCUUCUGUACAGACAGCUUGCCUUGCAUACCCCUGGGCCCCCUGAAUAAGGAUGUGGUUUUGCAGUUUAAAUGCCUUGCUCCCCCUGAGCUUGGGGCCACGGGUGGGAGAGACUUAAGUCCUCCAUGGCCGCCGGCAAUAAAGACCCUGCAAUUGGCAUACUUUUGUCUUGAUGUUGAAUUACCACUCGCUCCGGUGCUACACCUGACCCCUGUGCCUUCUAACAGGGAGACACCUCCCAGCAGGGUUCGACAGACACCUCAUACAGGAGAGUUCUGGUUGGCAUCUGGUGGGGGCCCCUCUGGGACGAAGCUUCCAGAGGAAGGAGCAGGCAGCAAUCUUUGCUGUUCUGCAGCCUCUGCUGGUGAUACCCAGGCAACAGGGUCUGGAGUGGACCUGCAGCGAACUCCAGCAGACCUGCAGAAGAGGGGCCUGACUGUUAGAAUGAAAACUAACAAACAGAAAGCAUCAACGUCAACAAAAAACAAAGACCACCAGGCAAAAACUCCAAUCAAAGGUCACCAACAGCAAAGACCAAAGGUAAAUAAAUCCAUGAAGAUAAGGAAAAGCCAGUACAAAAAGACUGAAAAUUCCAAAAAACCAGAAUGCCUCUUCUCCUCCAAAGGAUCACAACUCCUCACCAGCAAGGGAACAAAACUGGACAGAGAAUGAGUUUGAUGAAUUGACAGAAGUAGGCUUCAGAAGGUGGGUAAUAACAAACUCCUCCAAGCUAAAGGAGCAUUUUCUAACCCAACGCAAGGAAGCUAACAACCUUGAUAAAAGGUUAGAGGAAUUGCUAACUAGAAUAAUCAGUUUAGAAAAGAACAUAAAUGAUAGAGCUGAAAAACAUAGCACAAGAACUUUGUGAAGCAUGCACAAGUAUCAAUAGCCAAAUCAAUAGAGGAGAAGAAAGGAUAUCAGAGAUUGAAGAUCAACUUAAUGAAAUAAAGCAUACGACAAGAUUAGAGAAAAACAAAUGAAAAGGAAUGAACAAAGCCUCUAAGAAAAAUGAGACUAUGUGAAGAGAUGAAAUCUACAUUUGAUUGGUGUAACUUAAAGUGACAAGGAGAAUGGAACCAAGUUGGAAAACAUGCUUCAGGAAAUUAUCCAGGAGAACUUCCCCAACCUAACAAGAAAAGCCAGCAUUCAGAUUCAAGAAAUACAGAGAACACCACAAAGAUACUCCUCAAGAACAACCCCAAGACACAUAAUCAUCAGAUUCCCCAAGGUUGAAAUGAAGCAAAAAAUGCUAAGGACAGCCAGAGAGAAAGGCUGGGUUACCCACAAAGGGAAGCCCGUCAGACUCACAGCAGAUCUCUCCGCAGAAACCCUACAAGCCAGAAGAGA